GCCCGGCAGUGUCAAAUGUGGGGAGGCCACCUACAAAUUAUACUGGGUCGAAGGAUCCUGAGAGCAGUAAAGUGGCUUUUGGUAUUGUCAAAAGUUGUAGGAUUCCAGAUCAUUUGUUAGUCUUUACUGCAGAGUUUAUGGGCAGUAAGGUGGGUUGAAGAUAACAAACAGGAACAUUCAGUCGUAUGUAGUGAUUCAGCUGCAACCCUAAUUACAAAUAAAGAUACCAAAACUAAGUCCAGACCUGAUUUACUUGUGGAAAUUUUGC